rnacentral:rRNA from 1 species
UUAGUAGCGGCGAGUGAAGCGGCAAAAGCUCAAAUUUGAAAUCUGGCUCUUUCAGAGUCCGAGUUGUAAUUUGAAGAAGGUAUCUUUGGGUCUGGCUCUUGUCUAUGUUUCUUGGAACAGAACGUCACAGAGGGUGAGAAUCCCGUGCGAUGAGAUGAUCCAGGCCUAUGUAAAGUUCCUUCGAAGAGUCGAGUUGUUUGGGAAUGCAGCUCUAAGUGGGUGGUAAAUUCCAUCUAAAGCUAAAUAUUGGCGAGAGACCGAUAGCGAACAAGUACAGUGAUGGAAAGAUGAAAAGAACUUUGAAAAGAGAGUGAAAAAGUACGUGAAAUUGUUGAAAGGGAAGGGCUUGAGAUCAGACUUGGUAUUUUGUAUGUUACUUCUUCGGGGGUGGCCUCUACAGUUUAUCGGGCCAGCAUCAGUUUGGGCGGUAGGAGAAUUGCGUUGGAAUGUGGCACGGCUUCGGUUGUGUGUUAUAGCCUUCGUCGAUACUGCCAGCCUAGACUGAGGACUGCGGUUUAUACCUAGGAUGUUGGCAUAAUGAUCUUAAGUCGCCCGUCUUG